UACAGAGGGGGCUAGCGUUAUUCGGAAUUAUUGGGCGUAAAGGGCGCGUGUAGGCGGCCAACUAAGUCCGACGUGAAAUCCCAAGGCUUAACCUUGGAACUGCGUCGGAUACUGGAUGGCUUGAAUUCGGGAGAGGGAUGCAGAAUUCCAGGUGUAGCGGUGAAAUGCGUAGAUAUCUGGAGGAAUACCGGUGGCGAAGGCGGCAUCCUGGACCGACAUUGACGCUGAGGAGCGAAAGCUAGGGGAGCAAACGGG
rnacentral:rRNA from 1 species